GCCAACAGCCAUAUCACUCUGCAACUCACAACUGGCAACCCACUGAAGCUCAGCAGGUGUGAGCCUGGUCAGUACCUGGAUGGGAGACUCCUGGGAAAAACUAAGGUUGCUGUUGGAA
ensembl:rRNA 5S_rRNA 5S ribosomal RNA